AUCAACACCAAGCAUGACACUUCUCAGCAAGGUUGUGUGGAACAGCACUGACCCUGAGGAUUGGCACCUGCUCGUGGGACAGACAGUGAAUUCCUGCUGCUGAGUGCUCUGUGCCUUUACACCAUAACAUUCACCUUCUGGAUUGGACAUUGCCUGAUUUCCUUUUGGGGGAUUAGAAUUGGAUCAAAGAAAUAGGUCAAAAAAACCUCCACAUUUUUUGGUAUAUUUGUAAUCUUGGAUAGAAUUCACUUACAAAUUACCUGUACAUACAAAGAAAGGAGACUGGCUCUUUUGUUCCAGCUGUCAUGUUUGGACAUAACUGGAAAGGGAACAGUAGAACUUGAGGAUAUGGGGAAUUAUUCUUCAUCUGAAGCCUGCCUCUUCCUACAAAGAGUAGUAAAGAUGUCUAAUGAUAAUAACAGGCGUCCAAAAGCCAGAAACUAUUUCUGAGUAAGAUCAAGUCAUGCAGGUCUAAUAACAGGAACAGAACCAAAUUACCCUCUUGCAUCCAUGUUAGUCUUUUUUUACAAAUGAGUGGAAGCUGUAGGUGUGCAGCUGAGCAGGAUGUAGUUCAGAGCCUGCAACAUUCCUCAUAACUGAACCCCUUCCCAUGGUGAAUCAGUGUGAAGCUAUAAAAAGGAAAAUGGGGAUUCCUCAAGACAAAUUCUAAUCCCUGCUUGAGCAGAUGGAAGAAACUGACAGCUCAGUGUGUUACAGAACUCCCUCAGCACAGGUCAAAUCCUGAGAUGGCCUAGAGCUGAUAUAGUGAAGAAACAAGGAGGCAUCAAAACAUCUCAUCAAUGAGGCUGUGAGCAGCCAGAUCUCAUUUCAAACCAGCAUUAGAGUUUCUCCAGUUUAGCAAGUGGAUACCCACCUUUGGUUCCUAAACUUGAGAUCUGGGGCAGUAUUUUCAACAUGAUAUUGCAAAUGUCCCUCUGUGUACUCUGUGUUUCACUCCUUAAAUCUGCUUAAAAAGUAAGUUCAGGGAAAAAAAAAAAAUUAAAUAUAGAUGCUCUGGCACACACCUAUACUGAGAACAAUCCCCAUUUCUGGGGGAACCAGCUGGGGGAACCAGCUCUCAGAUGGGGGAGAAGCAAGCCAUGAGAGCAGCUGUCAAGGCAGGAGUGACAGCCACCCCCAGAGCCACUCUGCAGUGCUGAAGUCACCCACGUUCACUGGUUGUUUGUUCCAGCCCCUCUGCUCAAAAUCUCUUAGAUCAGCUUCAUUUCACUCCUGGGACUGUUACUCCAACAAUCUUCUUUUCAGUGUCUCUUCUCCUUUCUUUCCUCUUUCUGUUUGUAUUCUCAAACCAACUCUAACAUCACCAAGGUACUAUGUGCUUUUUCUGAAAUUACAACCUUCAUUUUAUAAACAUAUUCAGCUGCUUUUCUCCAGCUCUGAGCUUUUUUGGAGCAGGGAGUACAGUGUCUCCUGGGGAGAGCUUUGUACUUUCUCAGCCUUAGGCACUGAUGUAAUAAACAUGAUUUACUACCUCCCUAAUGUCCCUGUAAUUUCACUUCUAUGGAUUGGUCCAGAUCUAGACAACUGAUUAGUGCUAAUGUGAACUGAAGCAAAGUUGAUCUUCCAGUAUCAAAAAGCUGUGCAAUUAUGUACCUCUGUAAUUUUGGAAGCACUGGGGAUUCAAGGUGCUGUCUAAAUUCCUUUUUGUACUGUUGUGGCUGUGAGACUGCACUGAUGAUAUUAUCACAGAAUCACAGAAUGCAUUGGUGGGAAAGGACCUUAAAGUUCAUCUAGAUCCAGUCCAGUUUGAUGGCACUGCACAUCCCAAAGCUGAAAGUAGAUUUUACAUGAACUGUCAUGAGUUGCCACAAGCGUCAAUAUGUGAAAAUUGCUGUGCCAGGUCCAGCAAACUGGCAGAUGGAAACCUGAUGACAGUGAAAUCUGUAAGAAUCCAGCCACCAGCUUCAAACUGAACUGGGAUUCAGCUGCCUUGCAAAGU